rnacentral:rRNA from 1 species
UACGGAGGGUGCAAGCGUUAUCCGGAUUCACUGGGUUUAAAGGGUGCGUAGGCGGGCAGGUAAGUCAGUGGUGAAAUCUCCGGGCUUAACUCGGAAACUGCCGUUGAUACUAUCUGUCUUGAAUAUUGUGGAGGUGAGCGGAAUAUGUCAUGUAGCGGUGAAAUGCUUAGAUAUGACAUAGAACACCAAUUGCGAAGGCAGCCCGCUACACAUAUAUUGACUCUGAGGCACGAAAGCGUGGGGAUCAAACAGG